ACUUACUUGUAAUGCCAGAGAAUGGUAGAAGUUGUGUUAGAUCUCGAGGAGGACGAGCUAGAUGGAGCACUGGAUCCGACGGAUUGAGGAGGAGCCAGACCUUGAGAAGAGACUAGAUUUGAUCCUUGUGUAUAUAGCCCAAGUC